GCAGUAUAGCAUCUUACUGUGAACUGCGAAUGGCUCAUUAAAUCAGUUAUAGCCCAUUCAGAACUUGACCGUACACGGAUACCUGUGGAAAAUCUAGAGCUAAUACGUGCCGAAAAGCCCUCUGGGUGCACUCAUUAGCAUUAACCGACAAACGUUGGUGAAUCAAGAUGAUUCCGCGAAUCGCAUGGCCUUGUGCCGGCGAUGGUCUGUUCGGGUUUCUGCCCUAUCAACUUUCAAUCGUAGCGUAUUGGGCUACGAUGGUUGCAACGGGUAACGGAGGAUUAGGGUUCGAUCCCGGAGAGGGAGCCUGAGAAACGGCUACCACAUCCAAGGAAGGCAGCAGGCGCGCAAAUUACCCAAUGCCGACUCGGCGAGGUAGUGACAAUAAAUAGCGAUGCGGGGCCCUAUGGGUCUCGCAAUUGCAAUGAGGGCGCUCCAAAAACGCCACCGAGGAACCACUGGAGGGCAAGUCUGGUGCCAGCAGCCGCGGUAAUUCCAGCUCCAGUAGCGUAUAUUAAAGUUGUUGCAGUUAAAAAGCUCGUAGUUGGAUCUCGGGCACGGCCAGCCGGUCCGCCUCACGGCGUGCACUGGCGCGGCUGUGCCUUUCCCUCCGCGAACCCCAUGCCCUUCACUGGGCGUGGGUCCUAGCGGGGGCUUUCACUUUGAAAAAAUUAGAGUGUUCAAAGCAGGCCUAUGCUCGAAUACUUCAGCAUAGAAUGAUGGAAUAGGACGCGCGGUCCGUUCCUGUCGGUUUCCGUACCGCCGUAAUGAUUAAAAAGAACGAUCGGGGCCGUUAGUAUUCCGUGGCGAGAGGUGAAAUUCUUGGACCCUCGGAAGACUUCCAACUGCGAAAGCAUUCGGCAAGGGCGUUUUUAUUAAUCAGUGAACGAAAGUCAGGGGAUCGAAGACGAUCAGGUAGGCUUUACCCCCCAAACUCUUCAGCGCAAGCAGCCGCUAACAUCAUCCGCAGAUACCGUCGUAGUCCUGACCAUAAACGAUGCCGGCUAGGGAUCGGGCGGUGUUGCAAUUUAUGACCCGCUCGGCACCUUACGAGAAAUCAAAGCUCUUGGGUUCUGGGUAAGCUACCUCACCGUAUUACACGCCGAUGAGCCACCGCUAACAUGAUUAUAGGGGGAGUAUGGUCGCAAGGCUGAAACUUAAAGAAAUUGACGGAAGGGCACCACCAGGCGUUAAACAGCCAGCAGCUCUGCGCCGGACAGCAGCCCGUAAGGGUGAGGUGGUCGCCUGAUGAAAUGCUAGUCCGCCCCCGAGCGGGGCGGGCGACACGCUCAAACUGCGGGGACCCCCUAAAGCUCCAGGUACCAAGUCGCCGCCGAAAGGCGACGAUGGCCGGGUUAACAGCCCCGGGUAUGGUGACAGCCCUGGUGAUGCUACAAUGGGCGAUCCGCAUCCAAGCCCCUGAUGGCCGCCGCCGCGGUACGGGGAAGGUUCAGAGACUAGACGGGCGUGGGUCCUCUCGAGGGCUUAAGAUAUAGUACCAGCCCCCGGCGAGAGCCGGGUGGGAAUCGGCAUCCAAACUGGGAGCCUGCGGCUUAAUUUGACUCAACACGGGGCAACUCACCGGGUCCGGACAUGCGAAGGAUUGACAGAUUGAAAGCUCUUUCUUGAUUGUAUGGGUGGUGGUGCAUGGCCGUUCCUAGUUGGUGGUAUGAAUUGUCUGCUUAAUUGCGAUAACGAACGAGACCAUCACCUGCUAAAUAGCCAGGCCCGCUUUUGCGGACCGCCGGCUUCUUAGAGGGACUAUCGGCUUAAGCCGAUGGAAGUUGGUGGCUAUAACAGGUGAGUCGACGCCCGAAACCCCCCCGCCGAACGAAAUAUACUAACAGCAGCUCUAAGGUCUGUGAUGCCCUUAGAUGUUCCGGGCCGCGUAAGUUCACCCCAAACCCCCAAAUAUUCAGGGGACCAACCGCUAACAUCAUCGCAGACGCGCGCUACACUGACAGUCACAACGGGUUCUUCCUUCCCCGAGAGGGGUGGGUAAUCCUGGAACGACUGUCGUGCUGGGGAUCGUGCUUUGCAACUAUGGCACUUCAACGAGGAAUGCCUAGUAAGCGUGCGUCAUCAGCGUGCGCUGAUUACGUCCCUGCCCUUUGUACACACCGCCCGUCGCUACUACCGAUUGAGCCAUUUCGUGAGGCUUUCGGACCGGCUGAGGGAGGUGGGCGACUACCACCCACGGCCG
rnacentral:rRNA from 1 species